rnacentral:lncRNA from 1 species
GUCCAUUUAAAAUAGUUUACCAAAAGUAACUAAUUUGACUAACUAAAAGUGGCUAAUUUUUGCAAGGACUUAAUUUUAUAGAAAAUACUAAAAUUAUUUGUUUAAACAUUUAAAAUAAUUUUUAUUUAUUCAAAUGAGAAACAUUCAUCUUGAAUUGAACUAAAUUAAAAUUUUCUUUUGGAUUUAGGAGAAAAAUAUUUUUUUGCUUCAAGGGCCGAUCUGCCUUAUCUCUUU